rnacentral:rRNA from 1 species
AUUGAACGCUGGCGGCAUGCUUUACACAUGCAAGUCGAACGGUAACAGGCCUUCGGGUGCUGACGAGUGGCGAACGGGUGAGUAAUGCAUCGGAACGUGCCCAGUCGUGGGGGAUAACGCAGCGAAAGCUGUGCUAAUACCGCAUACGAUCUGCGGAUGAAAGCGGGGGACCUUGUAGCAAUAGGGGGCCUCGCGCGAUUGGAGCCGCCGAUGUCAGAUGAGGUAGUUGGUAGGGUAAAGGCCUACCAAGCCGACGAUCUGUAGCUGGUCUGAGAGGACGACCAGCCACAGUGGGACUGAGACACGGCCCAGACUCCUACGGGAGGCAGCAGUGGGGAAUUUUGGACAAUGGGCGCAAGCCUGAUCCAGCAAUGCCGCGUGCAGGAAGAAGGCCUUCGGGUUGUAAACUGCUUUUGUACGGAACGAAACGGCUCUGGUUAAUACCUGGGGCACAUGACGGUACCGUAAGAAUAAGCACCGGCUAACUACGUGCCAGCCGCCGCCGUAA